UGCCGGCUCGUCUAACGGUAGGACACAUCCCUUUGAAGGAUGGUAUUGGGGUUCGAUUCCCUGGCCGGCAGCAA
rnacentral:tRNA from 1 species